UACGUAGGGUGCAGGCGUUAAUCGGAAUUACUGGGCGUAAAGCGUGCGCAGGCGGUCUCUUAAGACAGGUGUGAAAUCCCCGGGCUUAACCUGGGAACUGCGCUUGUAACUGAGAGGCUUGAGUGUGCCAGAGGGGGGUGGAAUUCCACGUGUAGCAGUGAAAUGCGUAGAUAUUGGGAAGAACACCAGUGGCGAAGGCGGCUCACUGGCUCGUAACUGACGCUCAGGCGCGACAGCGUGGGGAUCAAACAGG
rnacentral:rRNA from 1 species